rnacentral:rRNA from 1 species
AAAUUGAAGAGUUUGAUCAUGGCUCAGAUUGAACGCUGGCGGCAGGCCUAACACAUGCAAGUCGAACGGUAGCAGGAAGCAGCUUGCUGCUU